AUCAGCCGUCGCCCGAGCGGUGGCGCGCGGGUGGCCAAAAGACGAAAAUAAGAUUUCUAGGGCUGGAUUCCGGGCCUCCGCGGGAGGGCAUGCUGGAGAGGAGCGGCCCCGGGUCGGGUGGGAAGCUGGGGCGGAAACGCGGCCCAGUCGCUGUUAGCUGGACGCCGGGGCCGCAGAUCCCGGAGGUGGGGCCUCAUUGUCGAGUGAAAACUGGUGGCAAAGACUUCACUAGGCAUUCAUGAAACUUGAUUUCUGGAUAUAUAGCUAGACCAAAUUUCCCAAUUUCCUUUGCACUUAGUUGUAGCCAUGUGAUUGACUUUUAACCAAUAAAAUGUGAAUGGAAA